UCAGAGUCUUCCAAGAGGAAAGAAGGAUGUUUAGGAGGAAGAUGUGGUGGAAGAAGGAGAAGACGAGACACUCUCUUCUCACUUUUCUCUCUUCUUGAAAUCCUAGAUCAAAACCUUAGGAAACCCACGCCAGGAGAUCUCAUGCCCUCCCUCUUUUUCUUUGUUUUUCACAGUGAAAACCUUUUUCUCGAUCACUCACACAUGCCC
rnacentral:lncRNA from 1 species